UACGAAGGGGGCUAGCGUUGUUCGGAAUUACUGGGCGUAAAGCGCGUGUAGCGGGUCUUUAAGUCAGGGGUGAAAUGCCAAGGCUCAACCUUGGAACUGCCUUUGAUACUGGAGACCUUGAGUCCGGGAGAGGUGAGUGGAAUUGCGAGUGUAGAGGUGAAAUUCGUAGAUAUUCGCAAGAACACCAGUGGCGAAGGCGGCUCACUGGCCCGGAACUGACGCUCAUGCACGAAAGCGUGGGGAGCAAACAGG
rnacentral:rRNA from 1 species